rnacentral:rRNA from 1 species
CCAAUAGCGUAUAUUAAAGUUGUUGCAGUUAAAAAGCUCGUAGUUGAAUUUCGGGGUCAGUAGGUUGGUCAUGCCUCCGGUAUGCACUGGUCUCACUGAUUCCUCCUUCCUGAUGAGCCGUAAUGCCAUUAAUUUGGUGUUGCGGGGAAUCUGGACUGUUACUUUGAAAAAAUUAGAGUGUUUAAAGCAAGCUAACGCUUGAAUACAUUAGCAUGGAAUAAUGGAAUAGGACGUUCGAUCCUAUUUUGUUGGUUUCUAGGAUUGACGUAAUGAUUAAUAGGGAUAGUUGGGGGCAUUAGUAUUCAAUUGUCAGAGGUGAAAUUCUUGGAUUUAUUGAAGACUAACUACUGCGAAAGCAUUUGCCAAGGAUGUUUUCAUUAAUCAAGAACGAAAGUUAGGGGAUCGAAGACGAUCAGAUACCGUCGUAGUCUUAACCAUAAACUAUGCCGACUAGGGAUCGGAUGAUGUUAAUUUUUUAAUGACUCAUUCGGCGCCUUACG